rnacentral:rRNA from 1 species
UACGAAGGGGGCUAGCGUUGCUCGGAAUCACUGGGCGUAAAGGGUGCGUAGGCGGGUUUUUAAGUCAGAGGUGAAAUCCUUGAGCUCAACUCCAGAACUGCCGUUGAUACUGAAGAUCUUGAGUCCGGAAGAGGUGAGUGGAACUGCGAGUGUAGAGGUGAAAUUCGUAGAUAUUCGCAAGAACACCAGUGGCGAAGGCGGCGCACUGGUCCGGUACUGACGCUGAGGCACGAAAGCGUGGGGAGCAAACAGG